UCACUGCACCUCCCAGGUUCAAGCAGUUCUGCCUCAGCCUCCCGAGUAGCUGGGAUUACAGUUACAUCAGAUGCAUUGUCUGGUGCCUUUAAGUAGUCUCUGAAAUCUGACUUCUCAGCCUUUUGGAUGGCUCCAGACGGUCAUGGCCCCUUGGCAAGUAUGGCCCCUUCUCAUACCUGGGCACAGAGGCCGUUUCACUCGUUUUCUGUGAUAAAAACACCGUAGUAAACAUCCUCCGUCCUGUGUAACCUCAUGUCCACAUUGCUGAUUGUUUUGUUUAUUUUCUGAUACAUUUCUAGACAUGAAAUGCUUGGAAGCCCUGCUGUGCCCAGAGCUGGCCAGGUACUCAAGGGAGGGUGUUGGGCUUCCCAGAGCCACGUGUCCACACCUGAGGACAGCCUGGACCCAGCUGUAAGGAACAACGUGCACUUCUUCAAUGUCUCACUCUCUCUUCCACCGCUUUGUCCAUGAUGUCACAGUACCCCUUGCCUCCCCUCCCAAUGCCUGUCUUGCUAAUUCUUUCUUAUCUUUCCAGACUCCAGCAUAACCUUCUCCAGGAAGCUUUUCCAGAGCCCCCAGGCUAGGAACCUCCCCGCAACCCCUGAACUCAAGCCCCAGCAGCCUGUGCCUGCACCAUCUCCAUCAGAGCUGAAUCUCUCUGGGUCUCUGGGUAACAAGUGCCAUUUCUUUGUUGUUUUCUGUGUCCCCCAAGGACAAAGCUCAGGCUGGAUUCAUCUCGGAAUUCCCACCACCAGGGGUAGAACUGGCUCUUUUCAAUUUCAGUCAAUGUUUGUUGAGCAAAGGAGUGAAGAGUUGGACAAAUGAAUGAACGCAUGAAACAGCCCGAGUGGGGAAGCUGAAACUCAGGCAUCGGGGACCUGGGAGAAGCAUCCGGUCCAGGCGGACGGGGUGGAGGGGUUCAGAGUAGGGGCCCCAAGUCAGGAGUGGGGAGGCAGGGACGGCAAGACCUCCUUCCAUGAAAGGAGGCUGGGACUGGGGAACCAGGUAGUGCAAUGCGAUGAGGGAAGGGGGCUGGCAGGGGGACUGGCCCGAGGAGUCAGAGGGAGGAGGCACCACUGGGUUAUAGACAAGGACAUUCUACGAGAGAGAAAUGUGUCAUGGGCUCUGGAGCCCCUGUCCAGGUUCAAAUUGUGACCCUGUGCCAGGGCAGCUUCUUUGUGCCUCAGUUUUUCCUGUAAAAUGAGGAUACUAAUACUUCAUUCAUUCGUUUUUUUUUCCCCUCAACAAACAUUUGUUGUAUGUCUGCUGUGGGCCCAGGACAGGAGGCUGAGAGGGAGCUGACCACCGUGGUCACACAGCUAAGCCCUGCAGCUGAGAUCUGACCCCAGUUUGCCUGUCACAAGUUCUGUUUGUGCCCCAUUGUCUGCUUCCUGGGGUUGUUAUGAGGGCUGAAGAAGGGGCAGGCACAGAGGAGACACUUACUAUAUGAUCAUUGUCCUCCUAGAGUAUCAUCACCAUCAGGUGGACUUCAGUGGCCAUCCCAGGCCUCCACAGCUCAACCACAAGAUCUUGGAGAAUGUCCUUAUCCCUCCAAGCCUCAGUUUACCUUUAGGGUGACCAACCAUCCUGGUUUUCCCAAGACUGAGGGUUUUCCUGGCACAGUCCCAGGCAAACUGGGAUGGUGGGUCACUGAUAUAGUUUGGCUCUGUGGUCUCCACCAAAUCUCACCUUGAAUUUUAAUAAUCCCUACGUGUCAAGAGCAGGACCAGGCAGAGAUAAUUGAAUAAUGGGGGCAGUUUCCCCCAUGCUGUUCUCAUGAUAGUGAGUGAGUUCUCACGAGAUCUGAGGUUUUAUAAGGGGCUUCCUCCUUUGCUCAGCAUCACUCUCUCUCCUGCCGCCCUGUGAAGAGGUGCCUUCCACCAUGAUUGUAAGUCUCCUGAGGCCUCCCUAGCCAUGCAGAACUGUGCGUCAAUCAAACCUCUUUUCUUUAUAAAUUACCCAGUCUCGGGUAUUUCUUCAUAGCAGCGUGAGAAUGGACUAAUCCAGUCACCCUGGUUUUCUCAUCUCUAAUACAGGGACCACCUGCCUCCCAGGGCUGUUGUGCAGAACAGAAAUAAGCCUACGGAAAAGGCAGAAAACCAUGGAGCCAGAAUUCUAGGUCUGGUUACAUGAAUACUAAAGACUUUUGCAUGCCAUGGAAUUCCAGGCAUGAAAAAGAACGAGGCGGUCCCGUGUACUGCUGUGGAAGAAGCUCUGAGAUACAUGUGUUUUUUUUGUGUGUGUGAAAAAGGCCAGAUACCUUUUUCUGGCCUUUGUGGGGCAAAAGGCAUCUUUGUGGGGAGCGCUUCUGUUAGUACCAAGUUGGGGGAGGCAGGAACACACAUGCACGUGCUCCAGUGCACACAUGGGUUCUCCCGGGAGGGGACUGGGGGCUGAGGAGAAAAGACUUGCUUUUCACUAUACAUCCUUUUGCCUUCUUUGAAUUAUUUUAACCCUUUGUUUUCAGUAGCUGGCCAAAAAACUUCCCAAGCUUCCAUGUGUCAAAAAGAACUCACUGAACAAGAUUAAAAGGCCAAAGUUAGGGAGUAGGAACUGUGUCUAGCUCAGGGCCCAGCAUCUAAGGAGUGCUCUGUGAAAGGCCUUCUCCCCUCUCCCACUCCUGACCUUGCUGACUGCUGGGAGUGCAGGGGCAACUCCCCCAGUGCGGUAUUUGUGAGGCUCAAAUGCAAGCUCAGGCUGGGGAGACUGCUCUGGGUUCCAGGCAGCAUCCUGCCUAAGCCCUGGGUGUCCCAGAGGUCCCUGACUCCCUUCUCUGCCUGCAUGUCUCAGGUCUCCCUCUGGCCAGUUCUGAGGUCCUGCCCUGCCUUGAGCAGAGGUGGCAGAGUUGGGCCCACCGUGCUGGGUAAAUGUCCCGGUUUCACAUACCUCCAGAUUGCAGGGACCUGCGUAUGCUGCUGCUGCUACGGAAACCAGUUCUGGCUCUGCCCUUGGGGAGAGGGAGCCACAGUUGAUUUAGGAAGAGGCUCCAGACGCAGCCUGAGACUACCAAGCAGGCCUGACCCCCACAGACCCUGCCUCUUGUGAGCGCCCAGACUCAGCCCUGCCUCAGGCUACCAGCCAUGUGGCCAGCCACUUUUCUUCUUUAAUUUUUACCAUCACACAAAUAUUUCAAGAAAAUAUUCUCAUUGUAAAAUCUCAAACAGUAAUAAAAUGUAGUGAAUAAAAGGCCAAGUAAUUCUUCUUUA